rnacentral:rRNA from 1 species
GAUGAACGCUGGCGGCGUGCUUAACACAUGCAAGUCGAACGGAGUGCCUUUGAAAGAGGAUUCGUCCAAUUGAUAAGGUUACUUAGUGGCGGACGGGUGAGUAACGCGUGGGGAACCUGCCUUGGAGUGGGGAAUAACACAGUGAAAAUUGUGCUAAUACCGCAUAAGCGCACGGAACCGCAUGGUUCUGUGUGAAAAACUCCGGUGGUAUAAGAUGGACCCGCGUUGGAUUAGCUUGUUGGUGGGGUAACGGCUCACCAAGGCGACGAUCCAUAGCCGGCCUGAGAGGGUGAACGGCCACAUUGGGACUGAGACACGGCCCAG